UGCAAAACUCCUGCAGAUGUUGCUGCAGUUUUAGUUACCUGAUCAGUACAUUCAAUUAUUACACAUAUUUAAAAAUAUUGCAGGCCAAACAAAUCACAAGGGUAAUUAUUGAAAAUAAUUUGAGUGGGCUCAGGGAAUAUCCAGUACAUUCCCUAAGGAUCAAGUAUUAAUUACUUAAAGACACACAACUAUUUUUAUUCAGCUUGAAACUGAUCUUGUUACAAUAUUUAAGUAUUUCUUAAUCUUUUCUCCUGAAUCUGUUUAUGUAUAAUACAGUAAAAACAGACCAUCAUUCAACAUGAAUUAGCAAUUUUAGACAGCUUAAUUUCAAGCAUGGUACAUUUAUGGAAUCUCACACAUUCAUGUGAAAAUGUAGUUCACACAUAGGAGAUGCAAUUUGUAGUAAUCUUGGCAACAUAUCUGUAGGGAGUAAUUCAUAGCAAAUUUUAGUCUUUGCAAAACAGUAACAUUCAAAACAUACUAGUCGGUGAUAAUAAAGUUGAUUCUGAUUCUGCAAUCACCAGAGAAGCUACUGGGGAUAUUGUGGGCUGAAGUCUGAUGAACCAGAACUUGCCCUGAACCAAAGAACUAUCACCUGAGAAGCAUUCAUUCAAAGCAGUGGAGUAUUUCUGCAAUGAAGUAUAUUACAUUAGCCACAGCAGUAGUGGAAAACUAUAAAAGCCUUCAAGAUUCUUGGAUUCAGAUUGGUUUCGGGGUCCAAGCAAAGAUCUUGGACCUGGCAGUUAUUUAAUAAUCUGUGUGUGAAAAUCUUGUCGAAGAGGAACAAAAUUUGAUUUAGUCAUUUUCUCCUCACCUACUUCUUUCAAGUGCCCCAUCAACAUCCACCAGCAAAAAUGAACAAUGGCACAUGGUCAAGGCACCACAAAGGGUUGAACUUCUGUGAGUAUAGCAUCCUAGAAAUGAGACAGCUUCUUCAUUACAGAUUUCUGUAAAGGCCUUGAACUUCUGACCAUUGAGGCACCUUAUCCAGUUACAUAAUUACAAUCAUUUAUGCAAAGUUCUUUUUUUAAAUCUUCAUAAUGUACAAACUUUGUACUUGCCUGGAGCUAGCCACAAAAAUAAAAUCAUGGAAAUUUACAGAAGACAUUGAAUAUGGAUUUUAUGCUCUAUACCAUGACAGGACAGCUUGUGGAAGUGCUUAAAAAGCACAUAGGAUGCUGGACUUUAUUAACAGAGACAGAAUUUUCUCCCUUUUCUGUUCGAAGGUCCUUGAGUGAGGUGGUUAAUGAAGCCAACAUGGGACCUGCAGAAGACCACAAGAUGCUUGACAGGGCAGGUGGAUAGCUUGCGAAGUAUUGUGAUUCCACUACGUCUUCUAAUGGGAUCCCAUGUGUUCAUUGCAAAUGGAUGUGUUCUCAAUGCCAGCUCAAAGCUUCUUCCCAUUUUGAGCAGUCAGAGGUGGAUGGAGUUCUAUCGAAGCCCUUGACAUAGAACUACACUUAAACAUCAGUUCUUUGCAGCGAUGGGACCCGCUCCCAGCACUCACUGACUGACCAUUUUGACGUCCCAAGGACGUGGCCGAGAAGACGAGUAUGUCUUCGGGGUUCUGAGGCUUUGCAGUCCUAGGGACGAGCCAAUUCCAUACCAGUGCCGCCGAAUGAAGUGUCAUGGGGAGAAAACGUAACAUCAGGAAGAUGUCCGCGAAGAACAAGAACAGGUUGUAUAUUGUAUACAUUCUCUGAUAUUAAAUGGAACUAUUGAACAGAUUGAAAAAAAAAUUUCUUUCUGUCUCCCUUCUGUUACCAAUUUCUUUCAAAGACGAUGCUUCUUCUUGGGUGCUCAGAUGAAUAACCCAUUUCAGUUCUUCAAGGAUAGCGAUAAUAUCAGGCUACUCAAACACAAGAGCCAUCAGAAACUUGAUGAUGCAUUGUAAACACCUCACAAAUCAUUUGCAUUCAUGGUUUUGCAACUUGCAGCCAGGAACCUCAAAUAACUGGCACUUUUCUCAGCUCAAAGAUACGAAGAGUAAUUUGAAUGAAUCCAAUGACACCUUAAUAGGCACCUUAUCAAUAAAGGUUUAAAGGAGGUCAUCCCAACCUACAUGGCUUGAUGAAGUUUACAGCCCCUUGGUUCAUUUCCCCACUGAGGAGCCAUUUCUGCAUUCUUCACGUAUCUAUGCAUCUACAGUAGCAUUUGGAACCAUACAAUAACAUGCAAAGAAAAUCAGUUUAAUUGA